rnacentral:lncRNA from 1 species
GUAUAUACUACACUUUAAAAACCCAGGGUGUCCCAUGUACUUUCAUACCAGUUCUUAAAAUGUAAAACUUUAUUCAACCUACCCCACCCCUUCAUUGAUUCAUUUGUUCUCCUCUUUUUUACAAUUACAAGAACUUAUCUGUUUGCUCUCUGUUCAUGUAACCGCACUGGUUAAGGUUACCGGAGUAGUAGCAUCCCAACAGAGCCUUGUUCUCAUCUUGUGUCCAUCGCCUUCUCCUUGUUGUUCCAGUAGCUCAUUUCUCAUCACAAUGCCCUGGUUCCUCAGCAUGUGACGCGGACUUUGUUAACUCGGCGACAUCAAUGGUAAUGCACUGAUGUUUAUGAGGUAGGCCAUAGAAAACAUGAACCCCCUGAUAACUUUUAAAAACAGAGCUGUUCAGAAAAAAAAGAGGACGAGCAUCAAACCAGUCUGACAGUAACUACAUGUCAACAUUGGGGAGAAAAGUUUAUAUUCUGUGUCAUUAAUUUCUAAAGUUUGUCCACAGAUCCAUAGGAAUUGCUGGAGGAGGGUGGAUUUAUGACCUAUACUGCAGCUCACCACCAGAGGGUGCUGUUCUCAGAGUGGAUUCACCCAGCGAGGAUGCAGACGGCGUCCAUUCUAUAUACACUCUACGGAUCUGAAUCACACGUGUGAAACCUUGACACCCAUCGGUUGUGUGGUCGUGACUGUGUGAGCUUUACCUGCUAAAAUAUUUUGGGUGCUUUUGCAUUUUACCGAAAUGAUUACAGUCGAUCGAGAUUUGUUUGUUCCAGAAGGCAACGUCCAAAAGAGGUGAUAGUUAGAUGCACUUGCAUGCAGAAACUGUCAUGUCGGUCGAGUUUCUCUUUUAUUUUUCAGUACAUUCAUUCAUGUUGGUUCAUGUUUUGUUUCAUGUCACUUUUCAAACCUGAUCACUAACUCUUGUUUCUGCCUUCUAGCUUUGUUCCUGUCUUGUCACACCUGCCGCCUGAUUGUGUCUCCCCACCUGUUCACCUCUUCUAUUUGACCUUGUGUGUCUCACAUGCACAGAUGCUGCUUUUGAAAGCACCGUAAAAGGAAAACAUCAAUACUUAUUUAGUUUCUUGAGGGAAGCAGAACACGCCUGCAUAUCUCCGCAAUGCUCGAUAUUAACAACGCUGAGCAAGCAAGACUCAGAGAUGGAUAAGUCCAUUUAUUUGCGCCUCUGGCUGAAAGUAUUAGCAAAGCCUUUGUAUUUCAAAAUUUGGAACUUUUAACUCCACAAGAGUGUAUAAAGUAAUUCUGUAUUCCUCUCAUUUCUCCUGCAGCCCUGCAACACAUCAGCAUCCUUAUUUCCUCCCAUACUUUCAUAGUUGCCCAGAAAUAUUGAGUGUUAGAGAUGAAUCUGAGCAGGAAGAAGUUUGAUAAAUGUUCUGUAAAGACUGUGAUGGAUUAAAGGAAGGAUGAACACCUGAAUUCAUCGGACAUGUUUCACUUUUUAAACCACAUUCUGGCUAAAGUGCCUCUCCAUUUCUACUCAGAUCUGAAAAACGAACAAGGAGACACAAAGAGAGGUUUGUGAAGUGAUUUUCUGCUCAUGUUUUUUUCUUUUUCCUUUGGUUUUAAUGUUUCAUUAAAGAAGCAAAAUUAGGAAACAGACGAACCACAUUCAGCUCUGUCUGCGCUGAAUCAUUUUUCAGAGGGUUCAGAUGUAAAUCGAUGAAUUAAACCCACUUUACGCCGUGAUUUUGCAGCCCAUUAGUAAGAUUAGAAAGACG